GACUUCUCAGGUGGCAUAGUGGUUAGAGCGUCCGCUUCGGAUGCGGAAGAUUGCGGGUUCUAUACCCGGUCGAGUCA